AAGAGUUAUUAUGGGUUAACACCCUAAUACUCCACCCUUUGUUUACAUUACCUUUGUUGCUUUGGCAGGCCCGUCUUUGGACCACCGGCUUCGGCUGGUCAGCGCCUGCCAGAGAACCUAAAACUCAUGUUUAAUCAUAUUGUCUGAGUACUAUAUAAUAGUUA
rnacentral:misc_RNA from 1 species